AUUGAACGCUGGCGGCAGGCCUAACACAUGCAAGUCGAACGAGUGGCGGACGGGUGAGUAAUGUCUGGGAAACUGCCUGAUGGAGGGGGAUAACUACUGGAAACGGUAGCUAAUACCGCAUACAAUCAAAUGUGCCCAGAUGGGUUUAGCUAGUUGGUGGGGUAACGGCUAACCAUGGCGACGAUCCCUAGCUGGUCUGCGAGGAUGACCAUCUAUACUGGAACUAGGACACGGUCCAGAAUCCUACGGGAGGCAGCAGUGGGGAAUAUGGCAGAAUGGGCGCAAGCCUGAUGCAGCCAUGCCGUGUGUAUGAAGAAGGCCUUCGGGUUGUAAAGUACUUUCAGCGGGGAGGCGUUACCCGCAGAAGAAGCACCGGCUAACUCCGUGCCAGCAGCCGCGGUAAUAC
rnacentral:rRNA from 1 species